AAAAUUAUAUAUUUUUUUCUGUAAUUUAUUCGGAACGAUAGAGAAGAUUAGCAUGAUCCUUGCGCAAGGAUGACACGCAAAUUUUUGAAGCGUUCCGUAUUUUU